UCGGCCGUGCAACAAUCGUCUUUCUUCCCGAAUUGCUCGUUGAUCAAACAUACUUUGAGUCGUUAUUGCCAAUCAAGUGUUUCAAAAUGUCGCAGUUUUAGUUGUACGCAUCCUGUUGUGUUCCACAGUUCUUUGUCAAAGGUGGAAAUAAGGAGGAGACUUUCAUUGUCGAAAUGGACGGACGUGUGUUUCUCCCACUGCGAGUGUCUACGAUAUGGCCCAAAGGCUUGACACAGUUCCUCACCUGCCCGUCAGAUAGCGUUGCAGCACAGUGCAGCUUUUUCUGUGCGAAAUGGAUGAUGCCAUUUUGAACAAGAAAAACAAUCAAACCUUGGGCGAGGAAACUAAAAUGAGACGAAGAAGAUUUUCAACGAUUCACGUCUCAUCGUGGCCAACUAAAAAAAAAAAAAAAACUAAAAAAAAAAAAAAAAAAAAAAAAAAAAAGAAGAAACGGCUGGAUUGGUUUGGUUUUUGGCCGCAAAAAAACUCGGCGUAACAACUGAAAUCCAGAUUUCGGUGUGACCCUUGCGCACAACUACGCCAAGUACGAAACUCAAUUUUCUAGUGUUACAUCAUUUUCGUUGGUCGACGUUCGCUGAUGCCGUCUGCAAAAUCGAAUAGCCAUCGAUCACGGUGGUUGUGUGCGUAGGGCACCGAUGUCGGGCUCUGGCAACAUCGUUGUGCAUAUAGGCCUCUUUCUUUACGAUAUCGUUCCGUAUGUAUAAUGUUUAAUAAUAC